CCUACGGGCGACAGCAGUGAGGAAUAUUGGUCAAUGGACGAGAGUCUGAACCAGCCAAGUAGCGUGAAGGAUGACUGCCCUAUGGGUUGUAAACUUCUUUUAUCUGGGAAUAAAACGUUCCACGUGUGGGCUUUUGUAUGUACCAUAUGAAUAAGGAUCGGCCAACUUCGUGCCAGCAGCCCCGGUAAUACGGAGGAUACGAGCGUUAUUCGGAUUUGUUGGGGUUAAAGGGAGCGUAGGUGGAUUGUUAAGUCAGUUGUGAAAGUUUGCGGCUCAACCGUCAAAUUGCAGUUGAAACUGGCAGUCUUGAGUACAGGAGAGGUGGGCGGAAUUCGUGGUGUAGCGGUGAAAUGCUUAGAGAUCACGAAGAACUCCGAUUGCGAAGGCAGCUCACUGGACUGCAACUGACACUGAGGCUCGAAAGUGUGGGUAUCAAACAGGAUUAGAUACCCGUGUAGUC
rnacentral:rRNA from 1 species